GUUGAAGGUAUUGUGCAAACAGGUAACGGAAAUGCCAUAUUGCAGAUCGUAAUACACAUUCUCAUGUAUGUCGUUACGUUUGAAAUAUUCAACAUAUCCCACUUUGAAUUUGGAAUAAUUGUAUACAUUUAUCUUUGUAUAACUUACUACUUCAUUUCACCAAUUCCAUAUUUCUUUUGCGCUAUAAUACUUGCAAUCCCUAUAGGCUUCAAAUUCAAAAUGGACAACAAUCGUCUGAAUUUCACAAUGAACUUUG
rnacentral:lncRNA from 1 species